rnacentral:rRNA from 1 species
GAGGGGGUCGCGGCUGAUUAGCUAGUUGGCGGGGUAACGGCUCACCAAGGCGACGAUCAGUAUCCGGCCUGAGAGGGCGGACGGACACACUGGGACUGAGACACGGCCCAGACUCCUACGGGAGGCAGCAGUGGGGAAUUGUUCGCAAUGGGCGCAAGCCUGACGACGCAACGCCGCGUGGAGGAUGAAGAUCUUCGGGUCGUAAACUCCUUUCGAUCGAGACGAACGGCUCCUGGGUAAACAAUCUGGGAGAGUGACGGUACCGAGAGAAGAAGCCCCGGCUAACUCCGUGCCAGCAGCCGCGGUAAUACGGGGGGGGCAAGCGUUGUUCGGAAUUACUGGGCGUAAAGGGCUCGUAGGCGGCCAACUAAGUCAGACGUGAAAUCCCUCGGCUUAACCGGGGAACUGCGUCUGAUACUGGAUGGCUCGAGUGUGGGAGAGGGAUGCGGAAUUCCAGGUGUAGCGGUGAAAUGCGUAGAUAUCUGGAGG